rnacentral:rRNA from 1 species
UACGGAGGGGGCUAGCGUUGUUCGGAAUUACUGGGCGUAAAGCGCGCGUAGGCGGACCUGCAAGUCGGGGGUGAAAGCCCGAGGCUCAACCUCGGAACUGCCUUCGAUACUGCGGGUCUCGAGUCCGGGAGAGGUGAGUGGAAUUCCUAGUGUAGAGGUGAAAUUCGUAGAUAUUAGGAAGAACACCAGUGGCGAAGGCGGCUCACUGGCCCGGUACUGACGCUGAGGCGCGAAAGCGUGGGGAGCAAACCGG